rnacentral:tRNA from 1 species
UGCCCCAUGGCUGAGUUGGUUACAGCGUCCGACUGUUAUCCGCCAUAAAGACAUUACGGUAACUCAUCGGAAGGUCGAGAGUUCGAGCCUCUCUGGGGCAG